CCUACGGGUGGCAGCAGUAAGGAAUAUUGCUCAAUGGGGGAAACCCUGAAGCAGCAACGCCGCGUGGAGGAUGCAGGUUUUCCGAUUGUAAACUCCUUUUUAUAGAGAAGAUAAUGACGGUAUCUGACGAAUAAGCACCGGCUAACUUCGUGCCAGCAGCCGCGGUAAUACGGAGGCUGCAAGCGUUACUCGGAAUCACUGGGCGUAAAGCGCGCGUAGGCGGGAUAGCAAGUCAGAUGUGAAAUCCUAUGGCUUAACCAUAGAACUGCAUUUGAAACUGUGAGUCUAGAGUAUGGGAGAGGUAGGUGGAAUUCGUGGUGUAGGGGUAAAAUGCGUAGAGAUCAAGAGGAAUUCUGAUUGCGAAGGCGACCUGCUAGAACAUAACUGACGCUGAUGCGCGAAAGCGUGGGGAGCAAACAGGAUUAGAUACCCGGGUAGUC
rnacentral:rRNA from 1 species